CAAAAACAUCGCCUCUUGCAAAUCAAAGCAUAAGAGGUCCCGCCUGCCCUGUGACUAUGGGUUUAACGGCCGCGGUAUUUUGACCGUGCGAAGGUAGCGCAAUCACUUGUCUUUUAAAUGAAGACCUGUAUGAAUGGCAUCACGAGGGCUUAGCUGUCUCCUCUCCCAAGUCAAUGAAAUUGAUCUGUCCGUGCAGAAGCGGGCAUAAGUACAUAAGACGAGAAGACCCUAUGAAGCUUUAGACACCAGGCAGAUCACGUCAAGUAACCUUAAAUUAAUAAGUGGAAACGCAGUGACCCCUAGCCCAUAUGUCUUUGGUUGGGGCGACCGCGGGGGAAAAUAAAGCCCCCAUGUGGACUGGGGGCACUGCCCCCACAGCCGAGAGCUACAGCUCUAAGCACCAGAAUUUCUGACCAAAAAUGAUCCGGCGAACGCCGAUCAACGGACCGAGUUACCCUAGGGAUAACAGCGCAAUCCUCUCCCAGAGUCCCUAUCGACGAGGGGGUUUACGACCUCGAUGUUGGAUCAGGACAUCCUAAUGGUGCAGCCGCUAUUAAGGGUUCGUUUGUUCAACGAUUAAAGUCCUACGUGAUCUGAGUUCAGACCGGA
rnacentral:rRNA from 1 species